rnacentral:rRNA from 1 species
GACGAACGCUGGCGGCGUGCCUAAUACAUGCAAGUCGAACGAACCGCGACUAGGUGCUUGCACUUGGUCAAGGUGAGUGGCGAACGGGUGAGUAACACGUGGGUAACCUACCUCAUAGUGGGGGAUAACAGUCGGAAACGACUGCUAAUACCGCAUAGGACAUGGGAUCACAUGAUUCUGUGAGGAAAGGUGGCGCAAGCUAUCGCUAAGAGAUGGACCCGCGGUGCAUUAGCUAGUUGGUAGGGUAACGGCCUACCAAGGCAAUGAUGCAUAGCCGACCUGAGAGGGUGAUCGGCCACAUUGGGACUGAGACACGGCCCAAACUCCUACGGGAGGCAGCAGUAGGGAAUCUUCCGCAAUGGACGCAAGUCUGACGGAGCAACGCCGCGUGAGUGAAGAAGGUCUUCGGAUCGUAAAGCUCUGUUGUUAGAGAAGAACAGCGCAUAGAGUAACUGAUAUGCGUGAGACG